ensembl:lncRNA
UACUGUAGGAUCCAAUGAAAAUCAGUGGCUCAGAUUAUAUCCAGCACAGAGACAGAAAAUAUUUCAGGAAAUCCAUACAGCUUCCAGGAUACAAAAUCAGUCUCAUAUCAAAACCAUCCACUCCAUAGAAGAGACCGUGCAACACAGUAAGUCACAUCUCAUUCAUGUUAAACAUGCGUCAAACACUCCUGCAGAGGCACAUCUUAAAACAGUUGCAGUAAUAAUUCUGUAUCUUUCAGGCACACGCAGCCUCACAUGGUUCCUUCCAGACCCAUUUCCCUUACUGUCACAAAGGACCAUAUCAGAUGCAAUCCACCUUCAGCUAUCUUCUACACAGAGUGAAAAGACAGCCUUGGCCCAUCAUUUACUGAGACAUUCCAAUCUUUGGAGAAGAGGAACAAGACAAGAGUAAAUAAAGGCAGAGAUACCAUCUCUGCAACUCGAGCAGUCAUCUGAUCCUUCCUGCUUCUCCGCCAAACUGUUCCCUGUACACAGCAGCAGAGCUCUGUAUUUUGGCCCUGCAUGCAGUCUUUUCUCACAUCUGUCACCUGCUGGGUGUCUAAAUCAUCAGUAAUGCAACAUAUGGAAUGGGUGAUCUGAAGAUAUCAAGCAGCUCCAAAACACCUACCGGUAAAGCAGCAGUGAUCACUUUAAGAAGACGAUGACAACUAAGUGGAAGCCAG